UACGGAGGGUGCAAGCGUCAUCCGGAAUUAUUGGGCGUAAAGAGUGCGUAGGUGGUUUUGUAAGCGCGAGGUGAAAGGCUAUGGCUCAACCAUAGUAAGCCUUGCGAACUGCAAGACUUGAGUGCAGGAGAGGAAAGUGGAAUUCCUAGUGUAGCGGUGAAAUGCGUAGAUAUUAGGAGGAACACCAGUGGCGAAGGCGACUUUCUGGACUGUAACUGACACUGAGGCACGAAAGCAUGGGGAGCAAACAGG
rnacentral:rRNA from 1 species